CCUACGGGGGGCAGCAGUGAGGAAUAGUGGUCAAUGGGCGCGAGCCUGAACCAGCCAAGUAGCGUGAAGGAUGACUGCCCUACGGGUUGUAAACUUCUUUUAUAAAGGAAUAAAGUGAGGCACGUGUGCGGUUUUGUAUGUACUUUAUGAAUAAGGAUCGGCUAACUCCGUGCCAGCAGCCGCGGUAAUACGGAGGAUCCGAGCGUUAGCCGGAUUUAUUGGGUUUAACGGGAGCGUAGAGGGGUUGUUAAGUCAGUUGUGAAAGUUUGCGGCUCAACCGUAAAAUUGCCAUUGAUACGGGCAGUCUUGCGUACAGUUGAGGUCGGCGGAUUUCGUGGUGUAGCGG
rnacentral:rRNA from 1 species